rnacentral:rRNA from 1 species
GAUGAACGCUAGCUACAGGCUUAACACAUGCAAGUCGCGGGGCAGCAUGGGGGUUGCUUGCAAUCCCCGAUGGCGACCGGCGCACGGGUGAGUAACGCGUAUCCAACCUGCCCUUCACCACGGGAUAACCCGGCGAAAGUCGGACUAAUACCGUAUGUUGUCCAUUGACGGCAUCCGAUCUGGACGAACGGGUUGGCGGUGAAGGAGGGGGAUGCGUCCGAUUAGCUGGACGGCGGGGUGACGGCCCACCGUGGCGACGAUCGGUAGGGGUUCUGAGAGGAAGGUCCCCCACACUGGAACUGAGACACGGUCCAGACUCCUACGGGAGGCAGCAGUGAGGAAUAUUGGUCAAUGGGCGUAAGCCUGAACCAGCCAAGUAGCGUGCAGGAUGACGGCCCUAUGGGUUGUAAACUGCUUUUAUGCGGGGAUAAAGUGGCCCACGUGUGGGUUUUUGCAGGUACCGCAUGAAUAAGGACCGGCUAAUUCCGUG